rnacentral:rRNA from 1 species
GAAACUUACGCUAAUACCGCAUACGACCUUCGGGUGAAAGCAGGGGACCUUCGGGCCUCUUGCGCGGAUCAGAUGAGCCCAGAUGUCGGAUUAGCUAGUAGGCGGGGUAAAGGCCCACCAAGGCGACGAUCCCUAGCUGGUCUGAGAGGAUGACCAGCCACACUGGAACUGAGACACGGUCCAGACUCCUACGGGAGGCAGCAGUGGGGAAUAUUGCACAAUGGGCGCAAGCCUGAUCCAGCCAUACCGCGUGGGUGAAGAAGGCCUUCGGGUUGUAAAGCACUUUCAGCUGAGGAAAGAAAAGCAGUCGAGCUUAAUACCCGGUUCAUCAAUUGACGGUACUCGCAAAGAAGAAGCACCGGCUAACUCCGUGCCAGCAGCCGCGGUAAUACGAAGGGUGCAAGCGUUAAUCGGAAUUACUGGGCGUAAAGCGCACGCAGGCGGUUUGUUUAAGUCAGAUGUGAAAGCCCCGGGCUCAACCUGGGAACUGCAGUGGAAACUGGGCAAGCUAGAGUCUCGUAGAGGGGAGUAGAAUUCCAGGUGUAGCAGUGAAAUGCGUAGAGAUCGGGAGGAACAUCCAGUGGCGAAGGCAGCCACCUGGACCAACACUGACACUCAGGCACGAAAGCGUGGGGAGCAAACAGGAUUAGAUACCCUGGUAGUC